rnacentral:rRNA from 1 species
UCGUUNCUCUGAUCUUAACGGCGGACGGGUGAGUAAUGCUUAGGAAUCUGCCUAUUAGUGGGGGACAACAUUUCGAAAGGAAUGCUAAUACCGCAUACGUCCUACGGGAGAAAGCAUGGGAUCUUCCGACCUUGCGCUAAUAGAUGACCCUAAGUCGGAUUACCUAGUUGGUGGGGUAAAGGCCUACCAAGGCGACGAUCUGUACCGGGUCUGACAGGAUGAUCCCCCACACUGGGACUGAGACACGGCCCAAACUCCUACGGGAGGCAGCAGUGGGGAAUAUUGGACAAUGGGCGCAAGCCUGAUCCAGCCAUGCCGCGUGUGUGAAGAAGGCCUUAUGGUUGUAAAGCACUUUAAGCGAGGAGGAGGCUACUUUAGUUAAUACCUAAAGAUAUUGGACGUUACUCGCAUAAUAAGCACCGGCUAACUCUGUGCCAGCAGCCGCGGUAAUACAGAGGGUGCAAGCGUUAAUCGGAUUUACUGGGCGUAAAGCGCGCGUAGGCGGCUAAUUAACUCAAAUGUGAAAUCCCCGAGCUUAACUUGGGAAUUGCAUUCUAUACUGGUUACCUAGAGUGUGGGAGAGGAUGGUAGAAUUCCAUGUGUACCGGUGAAAUGCGUGGAGGAAUACCGAUGGCGACGGCAGCCAUCCUCCAGAACACUGACCAUGAGGUGCGAAAGCAUGGAGAGCUAACAGGAUCUGAUACCCUGGUACUCCACACUGUAAAAGAUGUUUACCAACCGUUGGUCCGUGAGAGGCCUUAGUGGCGCAGCUAACGCGAUAAGUAGACCGCCUGGCGAGUACGGUGGCAAGACUAAAACUCAAAUGAAUUGACGGGGGCCCGCACAAGCGGUGGAGCAUGUGGUUUUAUUCGAGGCAACUCGAAGAUCCUUACGUGGCCUUGACAUAGUAAUCAUUUUCCAGAGAAGGAUUGGUCCAUUACUGAGAAAAUGAGCCCAGACUCCUACGGUAGCAGCAGUGGUGAACCUUGGUCAAUCGACGCAAGCCUGAUUCCAGCCAUGCAGCGUGUGAGGGAACUUUCAUACAGCUGGUGCAAGGGUGUGGUCAGGUCGUGUCCCGAGAUGCAGGGUUAAGUCCCGCAACGAGCGCAACCAUUUUCGUUAUUGUCUCAGGAGCAAUGUGGGGAAUCUUAAUGUUAGUCCCAGUGCCAAUCGUGAGGAAGGCGGGCCUGACGCCCAGUCAUCAGGGCCUUUACGGCCAGGUCAUCACACGUGGCACAGUCGUCGGUUCACAGGGUUGCUACCUAGGGAUAGGAUGGUAAUUUCCAAAACCCGAUCGUAGUCUGGAUCGAGUAUGCAACUCGACUCCAGAAGUCGGAAUCGCUAGAAUCGCGAUCAGCAGC